rnacentral:rRNA from 1 species
UACGAAGGGGGCUAGCGUUGCUCGGAAUCACUGGGCGUAAAGGGUGUGUAGGCGGCGUUUUAAGUCGGGGGUGAAAGCCUGUGGCUCAACCACAGAAUGGCCUUCGAUACUGGGACGCUUGAGUCUGGUAGAGGUUGGUGGAACUGCGAGUGUAGAGGUGAAAUUCGUAGAUAUUCGCAAGAACACCGGUGGCGAAGGCGGCCAACUGGACCAGCACUGACGCUGAGGCGCGAAAGCGUGGGGAGCAAACAGG